UCUUAGUGUGUUUGUGGAAGACGUGUGGGUGCCGGUUUUAGAGAGAGGGAGAGAUAGGGAAGAGCAUAAGAGCCUCUUGCCGUUCUUCCUCAUGUUUGCAGGUUCUCCACUGAUUCCGGCCGGCCAUCGACGUUGUUCAGAUACCAUUAACAACAGUUUUCUGCGUCCAAGAGGUGGAGAAAGUGUAGAAGGCCUCAGUUUUGUUGGAUACGCAUCUCUCUCGGGACUGUAAAGAUUCCAAAGUUGUAUUUAGUUGGUGGUAAUUUACUUUCUUUUGUAUGUGACAUGUAGUUAUUGAUAAGAAUUGCUUAUGCCUAAAAUAAUACAUGUAUAUUUAUAAAUCUGUCACUUUACGUGUGAUGUGGUGUUGACACCUAUUUGGUUAGUAAAGUGACAUAUUGGAAAAGGAGA